GCCUGGUUGGCUCAGUCGGUUGAGUGCCUGACUUUGGCUCAGGUCACCAUCUCGUGGUUCAUGAGUUUGAGCCCCAUGUCAGACU
rnacentral:tRNA from 1 species